rnacentral:rRNA from 1 species
GAGUUUGAUCCUGGCUCAGGAUGAAUGCUGGCGGCGUGCCUUAGGCAUGCAAGUCGAACGAUCCCCGCAUUUUGCGGGGGGAGUGGCGGACGGGUGAGUAACGCGUAGGAAUCUACCCUUUGGUGGGGGAUAGCUCGGCGAAAGUCGGGGUAAUCCCGCAUAAGUCCCCGAUUUAAUCGGGGGGAAAGGCCGUAACUGGCCGCCGAAGGAGGAGCCUGCGUCCUAUCAGCUUGUUGGUGUGGUAACGGCGCACCAAGGCGAUGACGGGUAGGGGGCGUGAGAGCGCGGCCCCCCACAAGGACACUGUGACACGGGUCCUACACCUACGGGUGGCAGCAACUAGGAAUAUUGCGCAAUGGACGAAAGUCUGACGCAGCGACGCCGCGUGCGGGAUGAAGGCCUUCGGGUUGUAAACCGCUGUGGAGAGGGAAGAAUACUGACGGUACCUCUCUAGAAAGCACCUGCAAACUACGUGCCAGAAGCCUCGGUGAUACGUAGGGUGCAAGCAUUAUCCGGAUUUACUGGGCGUAAAGAGUAUCGUAGGCGGUUGGGUAAGUGGUCCGUGAAAUCUUCCCGCUCAACGGGAAAACUGCGGGUCAUACUGCCUGACUAGGGUAACUUGGGGGAGGCUGGAAUUUGCGGUGUAGGGGUGAAAUCCGUUGAUAUCGCAAAGAACACCAAGGGCGAAGGCAGGCCUCUAUGAGUUUACCGACGCUGAUGAACGAAAGCUUGGGGAGCAAACCGGAUUAGAGACCCGGGUAGUCCAAGCCGUAAACGAUGCCCACUAGAUGGUCCCGAUUUAAUCGGAACUGUCGUAAGCUAACGCGUUAAGUGGGCCGCCUGGGGAGUACGGCCGCAAGGCUAAAACUCAAAGGAAUUGACGGGGAAACGCACAACCAGGGGAGCAUGUGGUUUAAUUCGAUACAAAGCGUAGAACCUUACCUGGGCUCGACAUGUACCUGCACGGUCCGAGAAAUCGGACAAGCCUUCGAGGGUGGUACACAGCUGCUGCAUGGCUGUCGUCAGCUCGUACCGUGAGGCGUCGGCUUAAGUGCCGCAACGAGCGCAACCCCUGUCCCGUGUUGCAUAUCACGGGAGACUGCCUUGCUAUAAGCGGGGAGGAAGGAGGGGACGACGUCAAGUCAGCACGGCGCUUAUGUCCAGGGCAACACACAUCCUACAAUGGUGAGGGACAAUGGGUUGCGAACCGGCAACGGGGAGCUAAUCCUCUAAACCCUCCCUCAGUUCGGAUUGUGGGCUGAAAUUCGCCCACAUGAAGUUGGACUUGGUAGUAAUCGCGGGUCAGCAGACCGCGGUGAAUACGUUCCUGUUUCUUGCACACAC